rnacentral:lncRNA from 1 species
GGCUAUUUCGUUGGUGCCCAGGCCUCCGCAGAGGUUGGGCCUCACUCUGUGAGGAGGAAAGGUCACCCAGCCACCUACCCACCCAAACAACAAGGAAGGGAAAGAAGAUGGCUUUGUAAGGUUCAGGAUUCCCAGGAGAAGGGGAUGUUCCCACUUUCUGUCCAGAUUCUCUGCAAAAGACAGCAAGAUGCCCCAGGGAAUGUUUCUGGAAAGGAUCAGUGGAUGGAAAGGAAGCCAAAGAAGACAUUGGUACUGGUGAUGAAACCUGGCCUCCAGGAACCAAGAAUUUAAGAGAAGUCGAUAGAAGCCAAGAGGAAUCCAAGAAGAAUGCCAUCAUCAUUGAUUGAAGAUGUUGUUUCCCUGAGCCCGCCGACUAAGGAAGGCAUUCUAGAAGGCUCUGCCCUCUGUCUUAAUCCGUUUGGGCUUCUAAAACAAAACAAAGACUAGGUGGUUUACAAACAACAGAAGUUUAUUUCUCACAGCGUCUGGAGGCUGGGAAGUUCAAGAUCAAGGCACCAACUGACCCAGUGCUCAGUUCAGAGCUUCUUGCUUUGUCUUCUCAUGGUAAGAGGGUCUCUUGACUCCCCCAUGAGGCCACAAAUUGGGA